UAAACAUUUCUGGGUAUUUUAUAACAGCCUCUACGACAUAAUGAGCACAUCAGCCUGAAACUAAACGUCUGCUAUACUCUAUAGAAAAUGCUUAUUCUAAAGAUAAUACUUGCGUUUGUGGCCUUCGUCAGUGCAGAAAUGUUUACAGGGACAGUUUCGGCUCGAGAUGGAGGUCUUGAACUUCUUGUUCAAGCGUUAAACACUACUGAAAAAACCUGGAUAUACGCUCGUACUUAUUUAGGAGAAUCGGAUUUAUAUUGCAGCUAUUAUUAUAAAGAUUUACUGGAGAAAGUAGUCGACUAUUAUAUUUACUUUUUCUUCUAUGGGAAUCGUUGGUGCAAGAUAUUGCAAUAUGCCGAGCUCCGUGGUGGGUGCUCGCAGGGACUUCCUUGUAUGGAUAUACGCGAGAAUGUAGGAGACAGGGCUGUAAGAAAGUAUCUUAUGUAUUGGAAUUCCACUGAAAACUGUGGCAUUUAUACGCUAUAUUUAGAAAACAGACGAGAGUGUGAAUUGCACAUAAGAGAUGACGCGCUGCCAAAGACACGCAAUCAAAGGCAGUCUGCUGUGCCUUGUGCAAGACAGUUCUUCCACUAUUGCCCAAAAGAUAACUAUACUGAAAUAGUUUACUACCUCAACAGUUGUAAAGCAAAAAUAGGCGAGUGGCCUACGCAGUGCACAAGCUGAGCAGACAGGUGCAAUUGCUUUAUCACGAUCACAUACAGAAUCCAACGUAAAUAAUUGACCAUACUUAUCGGACGAGAAAAAUUGACAUCCAACUUCUAAGCCGAAAUAAAUGUGCCAA